UACGUAGGUGGCAAGCGUUGUCCGGAAUUAUUGGGCGUAAAGCGCGCGCAGGCGGUCCUUUAAGUCUGAUGUGAAAGCCCACGGCUCAACCGUGGAGGGUCAUUGGAAACUGGGGGGACUUGAGUGCAGAAGAGGAGAGUGGAAUUCCACGUGUAGCGGUGAAAUGCGUAGAGAUGUAGAGGAACACCAGUGGCGAAGGCGACUCUUUGGCCUGUAACUGACGCUGAGGCGCGAAAGCGUGGGGAGCGAACAGG
rnacentral:rRNA from 1 species